rnacentral:rRNA from 1 species
CCCAAGAGAUCGGGAUAACACCUGGAAACAGANUGCUAAUACCGGAUAACAACAGAUGAUGCCUAUCAACUGUUUAAAAGAUGGUUCUGCUAUCACUCUUGGAUGGACCUGCGGUGCAUUAGCUAGUUGGUAGGGUAACGGCCUACCAAGGCGAUGAUGCAUAGCCGAGUUGAGAGACUGAUCGGCCACAUUGGGACUGAGACACGGCCCAAACUCCUACGGGAGGCAGCAGCU